ensembl:snoRNA SNORD73 Small nucleolar RNA SNORD73
AAUGAAUGAUGACAAAAUGUUUCGGUCCCAGAUGAUACAUAUUGAUUAUACCGUUACAUUUAUUUCUGACAUU